rnacentral:tRNA from 1 species
AAAGCUUUAGCUUAAUUAAAGUGCUUGUUUUGCAUGCAAGAGAUGUGAGUU